AUUGAACGCUGGCGGCAGGCCUAACACAUGCAAGUCGAGCGGAUGAAGGGAGCUUGCUCCUGGAUUCAGCGGCGGACGGGUGAGUAAUGCCUAGGAAUCUGCCUGGUAGUGGGGGAUAACGUCCGGAAACGGGCGCUAAUACCGCAUACGUCCUGAGGGAGAAAGUGGGGGAUCUUCGGACCUCACGCUAUCAGAUGAGCCUAGGUCGGAUUAGCUAGUUGGUGGGGUAAAGGCCUACCAAGGCGACGAUCCGUAACUGGUCUGAGAGGAUGAUAAGUCACACUGGAACGGGGACACGGUCCAGGCUCCUACGGGAGGCAGCAGUGGGGAAUAUUGGACAAUGGGCGAAAGCCUGAUCCAGCCAUGCCGCGUGUGUGAAGAAGGUCUUCGGAUUGUAAAGCACUUUAAGUUGGGAGGAAGGGCAGUAAGUUAAUACCUUGCUGUUUUGACGUUACCAACAGAAUAAGCACCGGCUAACUUCGUG
rnacentral:rRNA from 1 species